GUGGACCCAAAUCCUUCGAUUGUAUCGCUAAAAAUAAAAUUGAUAUAUAACGUUGAACGUUAUUGAUUUUCAUAAUGAUAUAAGGAAGGCAAAUUGACCCAAAAAGGGCCGUUUAAAAACACUACUCCCCUGCCUUCAAAAAAAAAGGAAUAUACAGUCAUCCAUAGCCAAGCUAUUCGAACAUAUAUCUGUAAAAUUAUUUUCAAUUCAUUAAAAUUGUGAUGCAAUUCUUUGAAUGCUGUUAUUUGGAAAAUUGUCGUAUUAUAUACAGAGAGGAAGACUAUCAGGAG